UUUUCUGAUUACUAGCCAAAUCAUAUUUUAUUUUUGCAUAUAUGACUCUAUUCAACCAUGUAAUUCUUCUCUCUUUAGCAUUUCACUUCCCCGGAACCUCCCUAUUCUCCUUUUAAUUAGACUCACUCCUAAUCAUAUGGAGCAGUGUCUUAUGCUUUUAUAUUGCUAGUUCAAACCACAUCUUUAAAAUAUUAUCUCUAGAUGGUUUGACUACAUUUAAACACUGCGUCCUAGCCCAAAACAAUUAAAAAUGCUUUAGUCUAAAUCUCUGAGUGAUAAAUUUUAAGGUGGAAACAAAACACACGUAACUUCUAAUUAUCUUUGCAUGGAUUAGCAAAGAAAUAUUGUUUAAAUGUGAAUAAUUGAAGUAGAGGGGAAAUGAGUUCAUCCUGAAACACUGUCUCUGAAGAUAGCAUUUUACUCCACCCUUCAGUGGCUGUAACUUUGCCUAAAUUAAACAUAAUGAGUAAAAAACUAUUCAGGAAGUAAAGCAGAAAGUAAGAGAGAAGAAAAAUUCAUUCGUUAUUUUCAGUCCUCAAUUACAGGUUUACUAAUCUAGCUGUAUCAUAUUGCUGAUGUUGCUUGAUUCAUUAUAAGUGAACCACAGCAAAUUUUCUCCUACUCAGAAUAGAAUUGUUACCUUAACCCGAAAAAAGAUGACGUGAGAUGCAGCGACCGUCAAGCAUUGGAUAACAGCUUUAAAAAUGUUUCCAACUGUACAUUCCUGAGCACUAGUGCUAAAAAAAAAAAAAGCAAAAAAAUUCUAGAAGAAAACCUAGGCAAAACCAUUCAGGACAUAAGCAUAGGCAAGGUCUUCAUGACUAAAACACCAAAAGCAUUGGCAACAAAAGUCAAAAAAUGUUUUUUCAAAAUGGAGCAUUACCUUAACUAACCUUUGUGAAGAAAGAGCUUUUUACAUUGAUAUAAAUUGAAAUUACCACCAUCAUAAAUUUUUGAAUUAGUAAAGAAUAAAUUAACAUGCAAUUAUCUACUAUAUUAGCCCAUUCUCACACUGCUGAUAAAGACAUACCUGAGACUGGCAAUUUACAAAAGAAAGAGGUUUAAUGGACUCACAGUUCCACAUGACUGUGGAGGCCUCACAACCAUGGCAGAAGGUGAAAAGCACGUCUCAUGUGGCAGUAGACAAGAGAAGAGAAUGUGAGCCAAGCAAAAGGGGUUUCCCAUUAUAAAACAUCAGAUCUCAUGAGACUUAUUCACUACCAUGAGAACAGUGCGGUGGAAACAACCCCAUGAUUCAAUUAUCUCCCACAGGUUUCGUCCCACAACAUCAGGGAAUUGUGAAAGCUACAAUUCAAAAUGAGAUUAUGAGAUUUGGGUAGGGACACAGCCAGAUUAUAUUAUCUGCCAUUCAAAUUCAUACUUCUUAAUAAUUACAUUUAAAAGAAAAGCAACAACUUUUAGGAAAAAGCCACACUUU
rnacentral:lncRNA from 1 species